GGCGGCGUGCCUAAUACAUGCAAGUCGAACGAACUCUGGUAUUGAUUGGUGCUUGCAUCAUGAUUUACAUUUGAGUGAGUGGCGAACUGGUGAGUAACACGUGGGAAACCUGCCCAGAAGCGGGGGAUAACACCUGGAAACAGAUGCUAAUACCGCAUAACAACUUGGACCGCAUGGUCCGAGUUUGAAAGAUGGCUUCGGCUAUCACUUUUGGAUGGUCCCGCGGCGUAUUAGCUAGAUGGUGGGGUAACGGCUCACCAUGGCAAUGAUACGUAGCCGACCUGAGAGGGUAAUCGGCCACAUUGGGACUGAGACACGGCCCAAACUCCUACGGGAGGCAGCAGUAGGGAAUCUUCCACAAUGGACGAAAGUCUGAUGGAGCAACGCCGCGUGAGUGAAGAAGGGUUUCGGCUCGUAAAACUCUGUUGUUAAAGAAGAACAUAUCUGAGAGUAACUGUUCAGGUAUUGACGGUAUUUAACCAGAAAGCCACGGCUAACUACGUGCCAGCAGCCGCGGUAAUACGUAGGUGGCAAGCGUUGUCCGGAUUUAUUGGGCGUAAAGCGAGCGCAGGCGGUUUUUUAAGUCUGAUGUGAAAGCCUUCGGCUCAACCGAAGAAGUGCAUCGGAAACUGGGAAACUUGAGUGCAGAAGAGGACAGUGGAACUCCAUGUGUAGCGGUGAAAUGCGUAGAUAUAUGGAAGAACACCAGUGGCGAAGGCGGCUGUCUGGUCUGUAACUGACGCUGAGGCUCGAAAGUAUGGGUAGCAAACAGGAUUAGAUACCCUGGUAGUCCAUACCGUAAACGAUGAAUGCUAAGUGUUGGAGGGUUUCCGCCCUUCAGUGCUGCAGCUAACGCAUUAAGCAUUCCGCCUGGGGAGUACGGCCGCAAGGCUGAAACUCAAAGGAAUUGACGGGGGCCCGCACAAGCGGUGGAGCAUGUGGUUUAAUUCGAAGCUACGCGAAGAACCUUACCAGGUCUUGACAUACUAUGCAAAUCUAAGAGAUUAGACGUUCCCUUCGGGGACAUGGAUACAGGUGGUGCAUGGUUGUCGUCAGCUCGUGUCGUGAGAUGUUGGGUUAAGUCCCGCAACGAGCGCAACCCUUAUUAUCAGUUGCCAGCAUUAAGUUGGGCACUCUGGUGAGACUGCCGGUGACAAACCGGAGGAAGGUGGGGAUGACGUCAAAUCAUCAUGCCCCUUAUGACCUGGGCUACACACGUGCUACAAUGGAUGGUACAACGAGUUGCGAACUCGCGAGAGUAAGCUAAUCUCUUAAAGCCAUUCUCAGUUCGGAUUGUAGGCUGCAACUCGCCUACAUGAAGUCGGAAUCGCUAGUAAUCGCGGAUCAGCAUGCCGCGGUGAAUACGUUCCCGGGCCUUGUACACACCGCCCGUCACACCAUGAGAGUUUGUAACACCCAAAGUCGGUGGGGUAACCUUUUAGGAACCAGCCGCCUAAGG
rnacentral:rRNA from 2 species